rnacentral:rRNA from 1 species
GACGAACGCUGGCGGCGUGCUUAACACAUGCAAGUCGAACGGUAAGGCCCUUCGGGGUACACGAGUGGCGAACGGGUGAGUAACACGUGGGUGAUCUGCCCUGCACUUCGGGAUAAGCCUGGGAAACUGGGUCUAAUACCGGAUAGGACCACUGCCUGCAUGGGUGGUGGUGGAAAGCUUUUGCGGUGUGGGAUGGGCCCGCGGCCUAUCAGCUUGUUGGUGGGGUGAUGGCCUACCAAGGCGACGACGGGUAGCCGGCCCUGCGAGGGUGACCGGCCACACUGGGACUGAGAUACGGCCCAGACUCCUACGGGAGGCAGCAGUGGGGAAUAUUGCACAAUGGGCGCAAGCCUGAUGCAGCGACGCCGCGUGAGGGAUGGCGGCCUUCGGGUUGUAAACCUCUUUCAGCACCGACGAAGCGCAAGUGACGGUAGGUGCAGAAGAAGGACCGGCCAACUACGUGCCAGCCGCCGCCGUAA